rnacentral:rRNA from 1 species
UUUGUAGAAUAAAAUUCCUUCAUAUUGACUAUGCUGACUUGAGUAACGGAAAUUGAAUAGAUUCAGCUAUCCAUGGUGAUAAGAUUCGUAAAUACCGGUCAUUA